GUAGGUGGCAAGCGUUGUCCGGAGUUAUUGGGGCGUAAAGCGCGCGCAGGCGGUUUUUCAAGUCUGAUGUGAAAGCCCACGGGCUCAACCGUGGAGGGUCAUUGGAAACUGGAGAACUUGAGUACAGAAGAGGAAAGCGGAAUUCCACGUGUAGCGGUGAAAUGCGUAGAGAUGUGGAGGAACACCAGUGGCGAAGGCGGCUUUCUGGUCUGUAACUGACGCUGAGGCGCGAAAGCGUGAGGAGCAAACAGGAUUAGAUACCCUGGUAGUCCACGCCGUAAACGAUGAGUGCUAAGUGUUAGGGGGUUUCCGCCCCUUAGUGCUGCAGCUAACGCAUUAAGCACUCCGCCUGGGGAGUACGGCCGCAAAGGCUG
rnacentral:rRNA from 1 species